rnacentral:tRNA from 1 species
UGGGGCGUCGUCAAGCGGUAAGACACAUGCCUUUGGAGCAUGCAUUCCCAGGUUCGAAUCCUGGCGCCCCAGC